GGGAAGCCUCGGAAUCAGUGGAAAAAAACAUUUUGAGGAUCGUCGGGUGUGCGUCUGAAAUUAGCGUCGCUAUUUCUGGAGGUACCGAUGGGGGGGUCGUACCCGGUAUGGUGUGCUCUACGUAAACUGAUAGCUCGCACCUAGUGUUCAGUCGCCCCGAGACCGUGUGCUACAGCCGCGUUCACCUGUAAGGAUCAGAUUUAUAACAUAGAUCUUACGUAGAUAGAGUAAACAGCACAC